UUGGCAAGCGUUAGUACAAUUUGGGAUGUCGAAUGGCGUACUAGCGUGACUGGUUUUCGUCGUUGUUCUCCCUUUUAAAACAAAAUAAUGCCGCGUUCUAAGAAAGUUUCUAAAAAGAUGACGGACGAAGAAGAAAAUAUGUCUGAUAGUGACUUUGGGGAAGAUGAAGAUCCUGAUAAAAUUGAGGUGCCAGGAGGCGGUAAAGAUCUGGCUGCAGCAGCUGCGAUGCUGGAAUCGAGGGAGAAACAACUUAAACAAGAGGCCCUAAAACAAGAACCUUUCAAAGAAGAAUACAAACCCGACAUGGCUAAAAUGAUGCAAAUGCCAAUGAAUGCUUUCCCCAAAAUGGCCCAGAAUAUACAUCCCAGUACAUAUGACAUGAUGAGAGCACCUACAAUGGGUUCCCCAUACGGGAUGAGCAGUGUGGCCGCAAUGGCAAGUAUGCUCAACAGUUUGGGGAGCCCGAUCAACGUCAGCUCUUUAUUCCCACCCCAAGCUUCUGGCACGGGAGCAGGACCUGGCUUCAACGCUGCACAGUUUCUGCAGCAGAGUAAGUCCUAUAUCAGGAGCUUGGAGAUGCUUAAUCCCUACUUUAACCCCGGAUAUUUCUCGAUGUUUUACCCUGGCGGAAACAUGGCUCCGUGGGGCGGACCUCUUAGCAAUAAAGCUGUCCAGUCCAUGUGGAUGAACCAGAUGGAUAACAAACCCAUGCCUCAUCAAGAAGAGGAGGAAGUAGACGACGAAGAACUGGGGGUUGCUGAAACCUACGCCGACUAUAUGCCAUCGAAACUGAAGCUGGGCAGAAAACAUCCUGACCCCGUUGUCGAAACAGCUUCGUUAUCUAGUGUAGCUCCAGCCGACGUUUGGUACGAACUGUCGAUACCGGACGAGACUAUAAACAAAGGACAUUUGUCUGCUUUGCAGUUGGAGAGUAUUACAUAUGCUUCACAAGCACACUCACACAUAUUACCAAAUAAGUCAAGGGCUGGAUUCUUGAUAGGUGAUGGUGCGGGUGUUGGCAAAGGCCGUACCAUAGCCGGAAUCAUCUUCGAAAAUUACCUGAAAGGCCGCAAGAAAGCCAUCUGGGUUUCGGUAUCGAACGAUCUCAAAUACGACGCCGAACGUGACUUGCGAGACAUCGGCGCCGGGAAAAUAGACGUGCACCCUCUCAACAAACUCAAAUACGCCAAAAUCAAUUCUAGUACCAAUGGCAACGUGAAGAAAGGAGUCGUGUUUAGCACUUAUUCUGCCUUGAUUGGGGAAAGCAACUCGGCCGGGGGAAAAUAUAAGUCCAGACUGAAGCAGUUGUUGCAGUGGUGUGGAUCUGAUUUCGAUGGGCUUAUAGUUUUUGAUGAGUGUCAUAGAGCUAAGAAUUUAUGUCCCGUUGGUUCAUCCAAACCCACCAAAACCGGUUUAACUGUCCUCGAAUUACAAAAUAAGCUUCCCCAGGCGAGAGUUAUUUAUGCGUCAGCUACAGGAGCCUCAGAACCAAGAAACAUGGCCUACAUGGUGAGAUUAGGAUUGUGGGGUGAAGGUACACCUUUCAAAGAAUUUGCAGAUUUUAUAUCGGCUGUUGAAAAGAGAGGUGUAGGAGCUAUGGAAAUUGUAGCCAUGGAUAUGAAGUUAAGAGGAAUGUAUAUAGCGAGACAACUUAGUUUCCAUGGUGUAGCUUUUAAGAUAGAAGAAGUUCCCCUUUCCAAAGAUUUCGAAAAAGUAUAUGAUGCCAGCGUGAAGUUGUGGGUGGAAGCGAUGCAGAAGUUUCACGAAGCUGCAGAGCUAGUCGACGCCGAAAAUCGAAUGCGCAAGACUAUGUGGGGACAGUUCUGGUCGUCGCAUCAACGGUUUUUCAAAUAUCUUUGUAUAGCAGCUAAGGUACCGCACGCUGUAGCAGUUGCACACGAAGCUAUAAAAAUGGGAAAAUGUGUAGUAAUAGGUUUACAAAGUACAGGAGAAGCUAGAACUCUGGAACAGUUAGAAAGAGAUGACGGAGAAUUAUCCGAUUUUGUUUCUACUGCCAAAGGUGUAUUUCAAACGUUGGUCGAGAAACACUUUCCUGCGCCUGAUCGGAAUCGUAUCCAUAAGCUUUUAGGUUUGGAACCUGCUCCUGUUAAAAAAGCUCCUGCUACAAACGGAAACGAUGAAGCGAACAGUUCUUCAAGCAAACGUAAACCAGUUCGACAAGCGGCAGCUCGAGCAAAUAAACGGAACAAAUGGUCGACGUCGGAUACCGAAGAAUCGAUCAAAAGCGACGGUUCCGAUUUCGAAGUGUCAGAAGCGGAAAGCGAAAUAUCCGAAGAACAUUCCGAUUCCAACGUCAGUAGUGAUUUCAAUCCAUUCCAGUCGGGCAGCGACUCAGAUGACGAUCCUUGGAAUAGAAAGAAGAAGGGAAAGAAGCAGAAAAAACCCCCGAAAAAGAAGAUUUCCGCUCAGGAUAAACUGUCGUUGAUGUUGAGUAGGAAGACUAGUAAAGCUAAUAAACCAAACGGGAGCGGUUUCCCGCCCGUAGCCCCACCGAUGGACGCCAUCGAACGCGCUUGUAGCAUGAAAGAAGAAUUACUGACAGCUAUCGAAAAGUUGGGAGAAAAACUGCCGCCUAAUACAUUGGAUCAGCUCAUAGACGAACUGGGAGGUCCAGAAAACGUCGCUGAGAUGACUGGUCGUAAAGGACGGGUAGUGUCGACAGAAGAUGGUGGAAUUCAGUAUGAGAGUAGGUCAGAAAAUGAUGUUCCUUUAGAAACAUUAAAUCUGACAGAAAAACAAAGGUUCAUGGAUGGCGAGAAGGAUGUGGCUAUUAUUUCAGAAGCUGCAUCAAGUGGUAUUUCACUUCAGAGUGACAGGCGAGUUAAGAAUCAAAGACGGAGGGUACACAUCACAUUAGAAUUACCUUGGUCUGCCGAUAGGGCUAUUCAGCAAUUCGGAAGAACUCACAGGAGUAAUCAAGUUAAUGCUCCUGAAUACCAAUUCCUAAUUUCUGAUCUUGCUGGAGAACGAAGAUUCGCCUCUAUUGUCGCAAAAAGGUUAGAAAGUUUAGGUGCUCUGACCCACGGCGACCGUCGAGCGACCGAAACACGAGAUCUCAGUCAAUUCAACAUCGACAACAAGUACGGUCGUUCCGCUUUGGAAGCGACCAUGAAGGCCGUAAUGGGUUACGAACAACCGGUAGUCCCGCCCCCACGAGACUACAAGGGCGACUUCUUCAAAGACAUCGCCGCUGCGUUGAUCGGCGUGGGGAUGAUUGUAAAUAGCGAAAAUAUGCCGGGAGUGCUGUCCUUAGAUAAGGAUUAUAAUAAUAUGUCCAAGUUCCUUAACCGUAUUUUGGGUAUGCCUGUAGAAUUGCAGAAUAGGCUAUUCAAGUAUUUUACUGAUACUCUUGCUGCUAUCAUCACAUCAGCUAAAAAAUCCGGCAGAUUCGAUCUAGGUAUUCUGGAUCUUGGUGCUGGAGGAGAACUAGUGAAACGAGUUCGCACGGUGACGUUCCUAAGAAAACACGCGACAGGUAUCGCUCCCACAGAACUUCAUACGGUUCAUGUGGAACGAGGCAUGGCGUGGCCAGAGGCCUUAGAAAAGUUUUCAGAUCUGAUUGGAGAACAUGAAGGUUUCUGGAUAUCGCAUCAAAUCCGGAAUGGUAAAACGACUGCCAUCUUAGCCAUCGCUGUAGAUACUGGUGGUGGUGGGGGAGGCACCAAAGGCAAGAAGGAAGGUAAAAAGGAAAGCAAGAAAGAUAUGAUGUUUUCCGUGUACAGGCCGAACACAGGGUUGCAAUUCAGACAGGAGAGUUUAGCUGAACUAGAGAAAAAAUACAAAAAAGUAAGUGGAAUCUGGCGAAGCAGAAAAAUCCUGGUCUCAACAAUACGACGCUUCUGUAAAUACUUGUUCUCACGCAUAUUGGAGAGGUAAUUGCCGAAACGUCUCAGUAGGACACGAUUGUGAAGUCGGACUAAGACGAAGAACCUACAACGUAGUGUCUGGUUCGGUACUGUCGGUGUGGAGUAGAGUCGAAGGAGUUUUGGCGAGCAAAACGGGCUCUCAGAAUAAGAUGCAAGUUAUACGUUUACGGACCAAAGAUGACAUUAAAGUUGUGGGUACACUCAUUCCAAAAAAUUGUGUAGACGAUUUAAUCAAGGCUCUAUCGUCUGACGCGGAAAAGACAGAGGAAAAAACUUUCGAAGAUUAAAGAGACUGAAAAGUGAAGUAAAAACGCUAUCAUCAGUUGAACACUUGAUAUCACAAAUUUGCCAGUGUAUUUUUUCGUCCUUAACUUAUAUUGUUUGUUAAUUUUUCGAAUUUGUGAUAUCAAUUGUAACUUUUUAGGAAACAAAUACAGGGCAAAUAUAGUAUUUUGCGGCACUACAAAAAUGAGUUGCAUUGUAGUCCAGUGAAUCGUAUCGUGUGGAUUAAUUUUUUUUCUUUAUUUGGAAAGCCAA
rnacentral:misc_RNA from 1 species